UAGUCUGGGAUACCACUUGGAAAACAGGUGCUAAUACCGGAUAAGAAAGCAGAUCGCAUGAUCAGCUUUUUAAAAGGCGGCGUAAAGCUGUCGCUAUGGGGAUGGGCCCCGCGGUGCAUUAGCUAGUUGGUAAAGGUAAAAGGGCUUACCAAGGCGAUGAUGCAUAGCCGAGUUGAGAGACUGAUCGGCCACAUUGGGACUGAGACACGGCCCAAACUCCUACGGGAGGCAGCAGUAGGGAAUCUUCCACAAUGGACGCAAGUCUGAUGGAGCAACGCCGCGUGAGUGAAGAAGGUUUUCGGAUCGUAAAGCUCUGUUGUUGGUGAAGAAGGAUAGAGGUAGUAACUGGCCUUUAUUUGACGGUAAUCAAUUAGAAAGUCACGGGCUAACUACGUGCCAGCAGCCGCGGUAAAU
rnacentral:rRNA from 1 species